GCUGGAAAUUCUAAGGUCAAGGAGCUGCAUCUGCUGAGGACCUUUUUUUCUGUCUUGUACCAUGACAGAAGGCAUCACAGGGACCUGGACCUUUCAAGUGCUCACUGCCCUGGGGCUACUCCCACGACUUCAAGCAGAAUGUUUUUAGUGCAAACCUUCACUUGGACCUUAUGCGUUGAACAUUGCCCUACGGAUAUGAUAGAUGGAAAUUGGAAAACACAAGCUGUUGAUGAGUUUUUGGCCAGCAGCCUCUUGGUUACAGGUUCACCCAGUGACCUGGGCAAUUGAAAUGUCUCCAGACUUCAGGGCUCACUCCUUAUUAAGGACUCCAACAUCAGGUCCCCUACCGAUGGGAGCCACUUCACAGUUAAGCCUGUGGGUCUCGAGGUGGGCUCAGGGUGCUGCAAUCCUGACCACAAAGGCUGGGUCCUGACACGAGGUGGGUGACAGGUUCUGGAGGGUCAAGGACUCUAAUAAAUGCAGUGAUAAGAGAAGAAACAGAAUCAACACCCCAAAUCCUGUGGAGAAGAGAAACGAACCAGGCUCAGAGUGGACAGGCAUCCCCAUUUCCACUCUUCCUUCCAUCUCCAGGACCAUCACCACCGCGGGCAAAAGGAGUGCUGCUUUUGCGAGAGGAUUGUCUUAAACCUGACUACGUCUUAUGCCAAGCAACAUGCCUGGCACACACAGUCUCAGAAACCCCGGCUUCCUCACUGUCUCACACAAAAGGUGCAUCAGUAGCAUCUUCUGCAGUAGAAUGCGUUUGUGUCUGGGCUUAAUUUCGGUGUUUGCCUUCUAAAUAGUUCCCUGUGCCAAAGCGGCUGCGUUUGGGCGUUUAAUUAAUAAUUUUUACUAUAAGAGAGUAGGUCAAAGCAUUCUUAAUGAAGGAGGGGGAGAAAGAAACCGUUCUGUUCUCCUCAAUCCCACAGCGAUUCUCUUUGGGCUCACAAAGGCAGCAGCUCUAGGGCCAAAUUUGGGCAUCCCACAAUGAUAGGUUCAAAGAGGGAUUUUCACAUUUAAUUACCCCCCCAGGUAGCGCCUAUAUCUUUAUCAAGUAAAUGUGUAAUUGGGAGUUCCUGCUUGGAGACUGGAGUCUCCGUCGACAAGAACUUAAAGACCAGCUUCCCACUGGUUCUAAAUGGUCUUUUAUAGCAGGAGACUCCCAGAUACAGGGUUUUUUCAAAGGCUUUCUACAGCAAUUAAUGGCUAAAAGCAAAUAGCCAAACCUCAGAUCCUGACUGUGUGCCAAAUCUUUCACUGCUGGGGGAGUCUCUCACAGCAGUAUUUGUUCUCUUAAGUUGCUUGAAACAGGGAAUAUUUUACACCCAUAAAUAACUGUUUUUGGUGGGGAAGGAGGGACAGGUGAGCCACAGCAAUGUUUUUUUUUUAAGAAAAGGGACAGUAAACUUAUUAUGCCUCAAGAAAUUUCCAAGUAUGUCCCAUAUUCCUUGCAGGAAAUACCCUGUAAUGUUCCUUAUUCCCAUGCCAAUUUUCCUUCCUCCUUAUUUUAACGAACAAGACUUGCAGCGAUCCCAGGUUAGCGCUCGCCUCUUUAACAUUUUUUCCAUAUUGUUAUUUGGAGACUGGCUUGGCCUUCAGACUCCUUUCCACCCACACAUAUGGCCGCUCAGAACUGGCCGUCCAGACGGUCUUCGUGGGCAGGGAGGCCCGUGACACUGGGGGACUGGCCUCUGACCACAGUGGCCACGGCGUGGUGAGAAGCAGAGAGGCCAGGAGCCACAGGCUGAGGUCACACGGAUGGGUGGGAGGCGG
rnacentral:lncRNA from 1 species